rnacentral:rRNA from 1 species
GAGAGUGCGAACGUUGUUCGGAAUUACUGGGCUUAAAGCGUACGUAGGCGGCGUGACAAGUGUCGGGUGAAAUCCCACGGCUUACCCGUGGAACUGCCUGGCAAACUGUCAUGCUAGAGUGUGGUAGGGGAGAACAGAACUCAUGGUGGAGCGGUGAAAUGCGUAGAUAUCAUGAGGAAUACCGGUGGCGAAGGCGGUUCUCUGGUCCACAACUGACGCUGAGGUACGAAAGCUAGGGUAGCGAACGGG